AUAUCUCAAUCGCAAAUCACUGGCAGGAACGACAGCAACUGCAGUGCAGCGAAUGAAACAGGAUAUGACAGCUACACAGAUGAAGGCACAGAUAUUCCACACGAUCCUCAACCGUCACAGAAGAGCGUUGGUACACUGGCACAAGGUCCUGUG